AUUAGGGGCUUUGAAAUCAAUACAGUGCAAAAAGCCUCAGUGGAUGAUUCUCAUCAUUAGAAUGAAACGCAUCCACAUGUGUGCUCUCUCUCUCUCUCUCUCUCUCUCUCCCUCAUUCCUUCAAUGCGCAGAGGUCUAGCUAUGGCAUUUUGAUGUCAAUUCAGCUUGGAGCUCCGUGUUGCGGAGAGCAUCACUUGGUGUAAUUCUCCGGUGUAGUAUCCAAAUGCUCGAGUGUUGUAGGAGUCUUUUUACUUCAUGCGGUGUAUGAUUACAAAUGAAGCCCCCUUGUACGUUGCAAUGUGUAUCCAGCUAACCACGGUGUUCUUCCGAUCGGAAAUAUUUGUUAGUGUAGUUUCGUGACGAUGA